AACGAACGCUGGCGGCAUGCCUAACACAUGCAAGUCGAACGAGACCUUCGGGUCUAGUGGCGCACGGGUGCGUAACGCGUGGGAACCUGCCCUUAGGUUCGGAAUAACUCCCCGAAAGGGGUGCUAAUACCGGAUAAUGUCUUCGGACCAAAGAUUUAUCGCCUUUGGAUGGGCCCGCGUUGGAUUAGCUAGUUGGUAGGGUAAAAGCCUACCAAGGCGACGAUCCAUAGCUGGUCUGAGAGGAUGAUCAGCCACACUGGGGCUGGGACACGGCCCAGACUACUACGGGAGGGAGCAGUGGGGGAUAUUGGAAAAUGGGCGAAAGCCUGAUCCAGCAAUGCCGCGUGAGUGAUGAAGGCCUUAGGGUUGUAAAGCUCUUUUACCCGGGAUGAUAAUGACAGUACCGGGAGAAUAAGCUCCGGCUAACUCCGCG
rnacentral:rRNA from 1 species